AGCUUGCUCCCGGAUGUUAGCGGCGGACGGGUGAGUAACACGUGGGUAACCUGCCUGUAAGACUGGGAUAACUCCGGGAAACCGGAGCUAAUACCGGAUAGUUCCUUGAACCGCAUGGUUCAAGGAUGAAAGACGGUUUCGGCUGUCACUUACAGAUGGACCCGCGGCGCAUUAGCUAGUUGGUGGGGUAAUGGCUCACCAAGGCGACGAUGCGUAGCCGACCUGAGAGGGUGAUCGGCCACACUGGGACUGAGACACGGCCCAGACUCCUACGGGAGGCAGCAGUAGGGAAUCUUCCGCAAUGGACGAAAGUCUGACGGAGCAACGCCGCGUGAGUGAUGAAGGUUUUCGGAUCGUAAAGCUCUGUUGUUAGGGAAGAACAAGUGCGAGAGUAACUGCUCGCACCUUGACGGUACCUAACCAGAAAGCCACGGCUAACUACGUGCCAGCAGCCGCGGUAAUACGUAGGUGGCAAGCGUUGUCCGGAAUUAUUGGGCGUAAAGGGCUCGCAGGCGGUUUCUUAAGUCUGAUGUGAAAGCCCCCGGCUCAACCGGGGAGGGUCAUUGGAAACUGGGAAACUUGAGUGCAGAAGAGGAGAGUGGAAUUCCACGUGUAGCGGUGAAAUGCGUAGAGAUGUGGAGGAACACCAGUGGCGAAGGCGACUCUCUGGUCUGUAACUGACGCUGAGGAGCGAAAGCGUGGGGAGCGAACAGGAUUAGAUACCCUGGUAGUCCACGCCGUAAACGAUGAGUGCUAAGUGUUAGGGGGUUUCCGCCCCUUAGUGCUGCAGCUAACGCAUUAAGCACUCCGCCUGGGGAGUACGGUCGCAAGACUGAAACUCAAAGGAAUUGACGGGGGCCCGCACAAGCGGUGGAGCAUGUGGUUUAAUUCGAAGCAACGCGAAGAACCUUACCAGGUCUUGACAUCCUCUGACAACCCUAGAGAUAGGGCUUUCCCUUCGGGGACAGAGUGACAGGUGGUGCAUGGUUGUCGUCAGCUCGUGUCGUGAGAUGUUGGGUUAAGUCCCGCAACGAGCGCAACCCUUGAUCUUAGUUGCCAGCAUUCAGUUGGGCACUCUAAGGUGACUGCCGGUGACAAACCGGAGGAAGGUGGGGAUGACGUCAAAUCAUCAUGCCCCUUAUGACCUGGGCUACACACGUGCUACAAUGGACAGAACAAAGGGCUGCAAGACCGCAAGGUUUAGCCAAUCCCAUAAAUCUGUUCUCAGUUCGGAUCGCAGUCUGCAACUCGACUGCGUGAAGCUGGAAUUGCUAGUAAUCGCGGAUCAGCAUGCCGCGGUGAAUACGUUCCCGGGCCUUGUACACACCGCCCGUCACACCACGAGAGUUUGCAACACCCGAAGUCGGUGAGGUAACCU
rnacentral:rRNA from 1 species